AUCUACGGCCAUGCUACCCUGAACGUGCCCAAUCUCAUCUGAUCUCGGAAGUUAAGCAGGGUUGGGCCUGGUUAGUACUUGGAUGAGAGACCACGACUAUCUAGGAAUACCAGGUGCUGUAGGCA
rnacentral:rRNA from 1 species